CGUGCGCGGAGCCUACGUGAUCCACACAGGCAGACUCGGCGACAGGCUGCGUUGGCGGUGAUGCUAAGGAGAGAGGUGCAGUGCAGCGCUUCAUCUCCAUCGCAUCGCUCGCACAGAUACACAGACGCGCACCAGGCCGGCGGCCCUCGUCUCCACCAGGUCUGCGAUGUGCUGCUGCAUUCAUGACGGACAGCUUUGCCGAGGUUUCACCGGCUGUGGCGGCCGCCCAUAACGCAGAGGCGAUGCGCGAUGAGGUACUCCGCCGCAUGGAGGUAUACGUGCUGGAGCUGCUGCACACGCUUCUCUCGCUGCCCAUCAAGAGAGUGCCGCCCCGCGGCAAUGCGGUGGCCGCCUUCAACGAGGGAGCGCCUGGCUCCUUGAGAAGACGCAUUCCAUAUUCCAUGCCGCGUGAGCGGCAGACCUCAACGUGCGCAACUCGUGGUGUCACCCCUUCAACGCCGGUGAGUGUACCACCGGACGGGCGUGCGCACGCGAAGGCGUCCCUGCGGGGCUACGAGGGCGCAGCGACCUGGUCAAGCGAUGGCCGACCAGCCACGAGCGUGCGCGUUUUGCAGACAGCUCGCCAUCAUCUCCUCGUGCUCACCGAGCUUUUUCGCAACGUUGUGCGCGGCAACGUGGCGACACAGCGCGAUGUAUACUAUCACCUCGUCCGCCACAUCCAGACGCAGGAGGUGGUGAAUCGCACCGUGCAGCAGCUCUCGCGUGUGCUGCGACUGCCGCGCCAGCUGAUGGGCGUGGUGGCUGGCGGGCGCGGCUACAUUGCGGGCUGGCUCUCCUAUCGCGGGGUGAGUUUGCAGGGGGGUGGCACGGGGUUAGCAGCGGAGGAGGGCAUGCCGCUACCACUUCUAAGCGCAGACUUGGUCGUCUCCGUCCUAGGAGUCGCCGAGCGCGCAGCUGUCGAGGAUGAUGAUGGGCGCGGUGUCUCAGGGUCAGCGUCUUCAUCAAACUCGACCCACAGUCGCUCACUUCAGCAGCCGGCGUCAAGCCGUUGGACGACCACGCAGCAUCGCGACUUUGCUAGCUGCUCAACCAACAGCGCCGCCGCGGCAGGCUUUCAAGUGCCGCCGAAUGUGUGCGCUAUUCUCGUCGUGGAGAAGCACGCUGUCUUCGCCCAACUUUUGCGCGAAGGCCUGCCGCGACUGCUGCCGUGUGUGCUGCUUACAGCUCAAGGGUACCCGACCCAUGCAGCGCGUCGGCUGCUUGCUCACUUGCACACUGCACUCCCUCGUGCGGCAGUUGUUGGGCUCGUGGACUACAACCCGCACGGGCUCGCCAUCCUCGCCGCGUAUCGCUGGGCUGCCGCAUCUGAUGCACUUCCCGCUGGCACGGCCUCUAUGGAGAGCCGCUACUACGCUGUUCCCACCCUGCGGUGGCUCGGCGUGCGCACUGCACACGUGGUGCGCGUAAUGGAGAAGAUAGACAGCGGCGAUGCAAGCGCAGAGCACCUCUCGGCAGUGCAAUGCCCUCCUCUUCGCCACCACACACCAGCUUCUCUAAAGGCGAGUGCCAGGCCUUGGGAGGGCACUGGCAAGGGCAGCCGGGCACACAGCAGCGACAGCGCUGCCGUCAGCGCCGCCAGCUGCACCUCGUCCGCUCCGCACACGGCAGGGAAGGCGGCGAUCGCCUCGCCAUUGACCAGCAUCGCGCCUCUGCAGCAUUUCACCCGCCGAGACACCGUUGUGAUGAGACAUCAGAUCGAGCGUUUGGAGGCGCUCCUGCACCCUGCAACGUCGUCUCCAGCUGCGAGAGAAGGCCUCGAAAAAGAGGCGGAGGCUGCGGAAGGGAGGCACCGCGAUUUAGUCGGGCCUUCUUAUGUGGAGCGGGCGGAGCGUGCCUCAGCGGACCUCAGCGCAGCGCCCCAAAGCCACAGCAGGCUCUCGGUAGCCGACCUCGAGUGCCAGGCCGAUCGAGCCUCCGUGCUUGCCUGGCUGAACGAGGCGCACGAGAUGCAACGAUGCAACCUCAAGUGCGAGGUGGAAGCGCUCUACACUGCCCCCUACGCCAAUCGGUUUUUGGGCCCCGCGCCAGUCGUGCAUGUGCGCGUGCGGAGGCGCGGCGCCCAAUCGCCCCCUUCGCAGUUUGCUGAGUGGGUCUGCGAACAGGUCCUUCGCCGUCAGUACAUCUGAGCAUACUCCCGCUGCUUAUCAGAAGCCCACACGCGCACAAACAGCGCUGCGAUGGUCGUGGGUUCGGCAAGCGGUUUUCGCGUCGCCUACUCCCCGUCUUCUUUUUGACCUCCGUGUACAGCGCCUCACCUGCUGCCAGCUGCUGCCAAUCCUACUGCUCCAACUACUCUUACUCUUUCGUCUUCGUGGUGUUCCUCACCCCGCUCGCCACCUCCGCUUCCUCUUCUCAUAGGGGCAUUGAGUCGGAGAGAGUCGGAGAGAGUGCGGGGGCGGCACGAGUGACGCGGCGAAGCGUCCCCCUCCCACCUGCUCCGCCCGUGCACCCGAGAGGACGUUGAAGGAGCGCACGUGCACGUGUCUGCUCUCGUGCAGGCUACACGCGCUCGCCCGUUUGCGCCCCACACCGGACGCGCUCGCCUUACACAAUACCGUUUUCUUCUUUGCCGCCCCUUAUUCUCAAGGCAAAGCCUCCAGGUAUUGCCAGCUGUCUGCGCCCGCUCGCACAGACAGGCUGGCGUGUGUAAACUGAGCGAUGGAGUCGCUCCCUGCCCCCAUCCCUCUCUAUCAGCCUCCCGCUCUCUCUUUCUAUGUCCUGUGCGCUGCCCAG
rnacentral:misc_RNA from 1 species